AAAGAAUAGUGUGCUGGAUAUCACAGCUUUUCACCCCAAGGAACAUGGAUGAACACACCGUAAAUGAUAAUAAUGAAGUUGUAGUAUAUAUGUAAUUUACAGCAGAAAAAAAUCUGCUACCAACUAGAAAACAGAAACUAGGAAAAAAUGGAGAUGUCUUUCUCAUUCUCUAAUUUUCCAUCAUUCCUUGAUAUCUCUAAGUAAGACCAGGGGCUCUGGAGCAGGUCAUUUAGGUUUCUUCUCUCUUUUCUGUAGUAUAGGCCUCUGCAUGACAGUAAGGAAAAGCUGGUAUUGGAACCACAAGCUCUAGCAAUUCUAGUGAAUCCAUAUGAAAUGUAUGGAAUAUAGCUCCAAGCACAUGAUGAAAAGGGCGGAAAGUGUGAAGGUGUCUUUGGAAACACUGACAAGAGAUGAUGAGUCUCAGAAGAGCUGAGCUUUUUUUUUUUUUUCCUAAAUUCCCUUAUCUCUAAUCUGGAAGAGUAGAUCUCUCAGGUAUUGAGUUUGAAUUUAGAUUGCAGUGUUGUUUAUUACUCUGUCAGAUAGAUUUAAUGUCCAGACCUGUAAAUCCUUUGCAGUGAAGCAGGGAAAAAUAAUAAAGUCACAGAAUGAACACCAGUUAAUGGAAGUGUAUGGAUGAAUCACCUGUAGGGUGUUCCCACUGACCGCUGUGCUGAUUUAUAUUGUUGUCAUCAUAAACUUCUUGUAUCGUUUCUCAUUGUACUCAGAGAAUAUUGUUACAAUUAGAUUGAAAUUUGUCUUCAUGGAAGGUAUUGCCCUGACAGAAGGAUGAGGAUGAUGUUCCUGGACAAUCUGUAAUACAAUUGGCUCCUUCAGACUGCCAGAUGACAUCCAGCCGGAUCUUCAUCACCAUGCACAGGGCCAGCCCAGAAGUUGGGGAAUGGCUAACCAGGGGCCUUCGAAACACCCAUACCUGCACUAAACCUUCAGGGAAAAUGAGUCAUCAAGCUGUCACAGGAAGAGCUGGGGCCAGUGCCAGGACCAGGAAACAGCUAUCCAAACUCUCCAGCACACUAACUUUCAUCCUGCUCCCCUCAGGCAAAACAAUUGGUCUCCAGCAGAACUAAAGUCAAGCUAGCUCCUCUGAAACAGGGGAGAGUGGCAGCCCACCUGUCAUGGUAUUCCUUGGACCCUCUCUGUGAGAAGGACAUUGCACUUCCUAACUUUUGGAGACUUGUAACUUGCACUUUGCUGAGAGGAUAUGAGAAUCCUCAUGCAGUAGUUCUAGGGGGUUCUGAAUGCUUCAAUAGUGGCAAAAUAGCAGGCACAAAAAAUAACAGUGGCAAGCUUUGAAGACUAGCUAAUGUUUCAUUUCCAUCUAAUUCUCAAAAUUUUCUAUGUGUGCAUCCAAAACACAGAUAAAGAUUAAAAGCUCCCAUUGAAAAAUAAACCAACAGCCUGGACUUUCCUUAAUCUCA
rnacentral:lncRNA from 1 species